CAUCUUAUUUUUUUAUUGCUGUUGAUUUCUUGAGGCUUGAAACUCUACUUUUUGCUAGCUGUGCUUCAUAUUUUGCUAUUAUCUUGACCCACAGUUUCGGGUGAAGAAGAAUAUGGAUGGUUAUGAGAUAAAAGUGGAAUUCGACUUUAAAGUUUCGUGCUUUGGGAACUGAUCGAAUGAUCGGAACUUUUGUGAGGUUCAUGUGAAGAUGACUGACUGCUUUUUGGGAUACAAUUUUGUUUUAUGAGAAUAUUGCAAAUAGCAGCAAUUCUGUCCAUUUUCCUCUCAUCAAUGGAUUAUCUUGUAACUGAUAAACAGCAAACACGUAGCGAUGUUCUUGAUUGAAUAGUAGUACAAUAUUUGCAGCUAAUAGAAACAUAUGAACUUGUAGAGUUAUUCAAGACAACGGCUGACAGUCUAGACAAAGGCCAGCGUGACGAACCAUGCGAAGGCGAGGAGUGACAGGUCCUCUGCAAGUCGCAAAUAGCAUGUCAGUUUCAAGGAACAAUCUAAAUUUCAAGGUAAAACAAACUACUUCUUACCGGCUUUCCAAGGAUUAAAUCUCGAACCAUGGCUCCACGAUCCUCCAUAGAAACAAUCCGUUGUUCUGUUCAAGCCAUCGGGGCAGUUGCAAGUGAAUUCCUUGUCCGGGCUGCUCUUGUAUCCGCAGACUCCGCCACUCUUCUCACAGGUAGCGCACAGUGUCGGAUAAUCAUUGUUGUAGUUGAACUUAUACUUGAUCGCGAUCCCAUAUUUCCAUCCCGCGGGGUUAGCUUCUUGACCGUUGAAUCCAUACACUGCUGAGUAAGAAGUGCAGUGCAGCUUCUGCAGGUCCAUCUCGAAGGAAGGCCCGAGAUCUACUGGCGUGUAGACACAGCACGUCGUGAUUGGCAGGCUCAGCCUGCCUAUGGCCUCGCAGGAGUAGAGCAGGCUGCAGAUGGAGCCACCCUCGGAGUCACACAUGGGGAAGGUGGUGUUGCUUCCACCACUGUAGACCGGCGAGGAGGCCAUAGAGCAGUCGAGCAGCGCGAAGACUGUGCUGUCGUGGAAGCUGAACGGGGCGUCCCAGUCGAGGCCGAAGCCUUUGCUGGGCUGAGUGCAGGAACAAGUUGACAUGGUGGGGUCGGAAAUGUACAUGACUUGGUCGCUGUAGUCGAUGGUGGUGACGGUGUAGCAGCCGGUGUGGGUGGUGAACGUUAGCUGCUCGCCGCUGCAGGUGACGUAGGGUGCAAAGCGCGGACUGCCGCAGCCGGCGCCGGUGCCGAAGGGGUACUUGAUGGGGAGUACACCACAUGUAUUUUGGCAGGUUUGGGAUGAGACUAAGUUGGGAA